rnacentral:rRNA from 1 species
GCUUGCUGGUAUGAUUAGUGGCGAACGGGUGAGUAAUGCUUAGGAAUCUGCCUAUUAGUGGGGGACAACAUUCCGAAAGGAAUGCUAAUACCGCAUACGUCCUACGGGAGAAAGUAGGGGAUCGCAAGACCUUGCGCUAAUAGAUGAGCCUAAGUCGGAUUAGCUAGUUGGUGGGGUAAAGGCCUACCAAGGCGACGAUCUGUAGCUGGUCUGAGAGGAUGAUCAGCCACACUGGGACUGAGACACGGCCCAGACUCCUACGGGAGGCAGCAGUGGGGAAUAUUGGACAAUGGGCGAAAGCCUGAUCCAGCCAUGCCGCGUGUGUGAAGAAGGCCUUUUGGUUGUAAAGCACUUUAAGUGGGGAGGAAAAGCUAAUAAUUAAUACCUAUUAGCCCUGACGUUACCCACAGAAUAAGCACCGGCUAACUCUGUGCCAGCAGCCGCGGUAAUACAGAGGGUGCAAGCGUUAAUCGGAAUUACUGGGCGUAAAGCGAGCGUAGGUGGUCAUUUAAGUCAGAUGUGAAAUCCCCGGGCUUAACCUGGGAACUGCAUCUGAUACUGGGUGACUAGAGUAGGUGAGAGGGAGGUAGAAUUCCAGGUGUAGCGGUGAAAUGCGUAGAGAUCUGGAGGAAUACCGAUGGCGAAGGCAGCUUCCUGGCAUCAUACUGACACUGAGGUUCGAAAGCGUGGGUAGCAAACAGGAUUAGAUACCCUGGUAGUCCACGCCGUAAACGAUGUCUACCAGUCGUUGGGUCUCUUGAAGACUUAGUGACGCAGUUAACGCGAUAAGUAGACCGCCUGGGGAGUACGGCCGCAAGGUUAAAACUCAAAUGAAUUGACGGGGGCCCGCACAAGCGGUGGAGCAUGUGGUUUAAUUCGAUGCAACGCGAAGAACCUUACCUGGUCUUGACAUACACAGAAUC